GACAGAGGAUGCAAGCGUUAUCCGGAAUGAUUGGGCGUAAAGCGUCUGUAGGUGGCUUUUCAAGUCCGCCGUCAAAUCCCAGGGCUCAACCCUGGACAGGCGGUGGAAACUACCAAGCUGGAGUACGGUAGGGGCAGAGGGAAUUUCCGGUGGAGCGGUGAAAUGCAUUGAAAUCGGAAGGAACGCCGGUGGCGAAAGCGACGUGCUGGACUUCUUCUGACGCUGAGGCGCGAAAGCUAGGGGAGCAAACGGG
rnacentral:rRNA from 1 species